UUCGGUGAUCUACUUUUUAAUUUUGUCAAUUAUAUAAUUGAACUUUUAAUUUUUUUCAAUUACAACAAAUUGUACCUGCCACGUCAAAAAUUGCUGACGUGACUACUUGUGUGGAGCCAUAAGAAAGCUGGUGUGGCAAAAAAAAUAGUUUUUUAAUUAUGAAUUAAACAAAUCAGAUUUACUAGAGGGUAAAAUGGUCCGACAACAAUUAACAAAAAACAAAUAUUAAUUUAAAAUAUAUCUUCAUAUUAGUACCCUCACAAUCGAUCCAACACAGUCAAUUCGAUCUAAACCAAGCUCUUGUUUCUUUUCCCUUCACCAUUCCUCUAUCUCCAUUGCAUAUUUGCAUUGCAGUGCUACCCCUCCUUAUCUUCCAUCCCCUUCACUCUAUCUUUCCCUCUGUGUAAAAUAUCUUUCCCUCUGUGUAAAAUAGAAAGAAGAAAAACCAAGAGCUAGCUAGCCUUAAUUAAUAAUUCUACUUAAAUUAAAUAUUUGAUAGAUUAUGGAAUGGGCGAUAUGCGCCACUUCAUGAAUCCCACAUCUGGCGGCAACCUUUUUACCUUUUUACCUUUUUACCUUUUUACCCCUGCUAUUUCACACCCAGAGCUCUUAAGUAGCAGUAUCGACGGCCAUCACAUGAUCAACUAGUAGCAGCAGCAUCUCAGUCCCAGUCCCAAGCCCAGCAAUUGGAGAUGCUCAUCUCCAGUUCUAGUCGCCAUCAGCUGAGUACAGCAUCUCCCCGUAGUGGGCUGCUUAAUCAUCAUCAUCGAUCACUUAUUUCGCACUGAAUCAUCAAGUGGUGCUAAUAAUUUUAGUAUUGGAGGUGGAUCGUCAUGUUUGAGUGGUGAUGGGUUUGGUUUUGGUUGUGGAAAUGGUUCCGGAAGAUGGCCCAGGCAAGAGACUCUCACCCUUCUUGAGGUCAGAUCAAGACUCGAUUCCAAGUUCAAAGAAGCUAAUCAAAAGAGCUAGGUUUUUUCGAUUUGGGGCUUGGUUUAGAUCCAUCGAUUGUAUAUGAUCUGAUAUGGGGAUAUAUUUUAAGUUAAUGUUUGCUUUGUAUUAAUAUGUUGUUGGAUCAUUUUACCCUUUAUUAAAUCAGAUUUGUUUAAUUUAUAAUUAAAAAAUUAAUUUUUUUGCCACACCAGCUUCUUAUGCCCCCACACAAGUAGUCAC
rnacentral:lncRNA from 1 species